rnacentral:rRNA from 1 species
UACGUAGGGUGCGAGCGUUGUCCGGAAUUAUUGGGCGUAAAGAGCUCGUAGGCGGUUUGUUGCGUCGGCUGUGAAAACCUGAGGCUCAACCUCAGGCCUGCAGUCGAUACGAGCAGACUAGAGUGUUGCAGGGGAGACUGGAAUUCCUGGUGUAGCGGUGGAAUGCGCAGAUAUCAGGAGGAACACCAGUGGCGAAGGCGGUUGCCUGGAGCUUUGCUGACGCUGAGGCGCGAAAGCGUGGGGAGCGAUCCGG